UAUAGUUAAACAACAGUAUUAAAUUAGUUUCCAGCAUACAGUAUAGUGAUUCAGCAAUUCUGUAUAUUAGUAUUCUUAAUGUUCAAUGAUUUCUUUUGUGUGAUUUUGCAUAGCAUAAAAAUGCUUCUGUCCUCUUAUAGCAGAGGUGACUGUAUAAGUUAACUAAAAUUAAAUGAGACUAAAAAUUCAGUUCCUCGUCACAUGAGCCUCAUUUAAAGUGCUCAUUAGCCACAUAUGGCUAGUGGUUACCAUAGUAUAUAGAACAUAAUACCAACAUAAAACAUUUCCAUUAUCCCAGCACUGACCUAUAGCUUGAGUGUUCAAACUGAAAGAUCAGAUAAAAUGAAGAGCUUACACAAGAGCUCACUCUUGACCUUUCUCCCAAUACCUUCUUAGGUCUACUGCUAGCACAUCAUUAUGGAUUUCUUGUCUGCUAAGACCAUAACCCAGGAAUCUGUGGGACAGCCUUUUCUUUUCCUCUUUGUUUUCCUUUCUUUGAGGUGAUACUGCAUAAGUCUUUUUCUUUUGCAGGUGAAAUUUGAAGCUCAGAAGAAAAUUUUACAGAGAGUAGUCUUACUUCCAAAAGCUCAAUGGAGUCAAUGUGACAACAUCUGCACCCAGAGCUGAGGGGCUCUGUUGUCUUUUCCAUCCUAUUAUAUCCUCUACAGAAACAUCGUUUGUGUACCCUUUAACCAUCUGGAGAACAUCCCUGAAAAACACAAUCAAGUGGCCCAGUACUAUGAAGUAUUUCUUUGACAGUCUGCAAUGGAGUCCUGCUUUUUGUUUCAUGAAGGUAUCACCAACCGUGAAUUCCACACAGGUCGAGCAGAGAAGAUUUUACCACAGCUGCUACAGUCAAAGGAAAAUUGGCAGUUCAUUGUUGCUGUGGUGAGCCCAGCCCAGGCAGGACUGCGUAGGAAUGCAUAGCUUUUCUGUUACAGAACUCAUUGGACUAUCAGGUGGUUCAAGCCAUUCAAAACUGCAGGGCUAUCCGCACGCUGAUUUUUGUUUCCUGCAAGCCCCAUGGUGAAACCACAAGGAACAUCAUUGAGUGAGUCAUGACUUCUUUUUCUAAAUUAUUUUUUCCUAUCAAAGUAAUCCAUAUUUACUGUACAGAUUUAGAA
rnacentral:lncRNA from 1 species